rnacentral:rRNA from 1 species
UACGUAGGGUGCGAGCGUUGCCCGGAUUUAUUGGGCGUAAAGGGCGCGUAGGCGGCUCGGCACGUCCGUUGUGAAAUCGCCCGGCUCAACUGGGCGGGGGUCGGCGGAUACGGCCGAGCUGGAGCAAGCUAGGGGGUAAUGGAAUUCCCGGUGUAGUGGUGGAAUGCGUAGAUAUCGGGAGGAACACCAGUGGCGAAGGGCGGGUCGCUGGGCAACAACUGGAGCGCUGAGGGGCGGAAAAGGCGUGGGGGAGCCGAACAGGG